rnacentral:lncRNA from 1 species
CCCGACCAGCAUCCAGCCUUUUUGUGUGAGAAGUGCGCUAGGAAGUUACGACACUUCACUGGCGGCACCCGUGACAUCGAUGUCCACAAAUUGCUCUUAAACCAAAAAGUGCAAUGGGACUGGCCUCCACACGAAAGCACAGGUGGAUGCUUUGUGUGCAGGCUGGUGACAACUCAGGGGAAAGGGGGUGGAAGCCACAAGAGAAGGCCACAAUACUUCUCAUCGGGAGGGCCUUUCCAAAGUGCGGUGCAAGACACAGAAUGAAGACGCUGCCUUUGUGUGUUGGAUCAUUUUGAACAUCUAAAAUUUAUUUUUGCGGUAAUUAUUUUCCCCCGGAGUUCGCGACUACUGGAUCGCUGGUUCACGGAUCGAGCUUCUUCAUGCAAACUGACACGCGGGUACCAGGCGGCCUAGCCCUGAGCGUGCGAUGUAAACUGUGAACAUCUUUUUUUGGAUUAAGUUUUUGGAGUUCCGGUGGACCAAACAACCCCACAUUCUUGUCACUUACUUCAUCAUGGACUUCAGAUUUCAUCAAGAAUCACUGGGAAAAAUUUGUAGAAUUUGUACAGAAAGGCUGCAUCCGGGAUCGAAAAACCCGAAACAAAAAUCCUCACUUUCCUGCAGCAGCGUUCGCUGGGAAGUAUUUAGUUUAUUUCGGGUCAAUACGUGGAACGAUAAACCUGACCAGCAUCCAGCCUUUCUGUGUGAGAAAUGCGCAAGAAAGUUACGACACUUUACUAAAGGCACACGGGACAUCGAUGUCCAUAAAUUGCUCUUGAACCAAAAAGUGCAAUGGGAUUGGCCGCCACAUGGUACCGGUAGUACAUGUUUUGUGUGCCAGCUGGUGACAACUCAGGGGAAGGGGGGCCGAGCACGCAAGAAGAGACGGUCUUCUCAUUUUCAUUCAGGACGAGCUUCGUCAAGUACGGUGCAAGACACGGAGUGAAGACACUGCCUGUUGUGUUGGAUUACUCUGAAUUUAAACACUUGAUAUAAAAAAAAAAAAUUUUGAACAUCUAGAAUUACACGGAUAAAAACAUUUUCCCUGCAGUUCGCGAUUACUGGAUCGCUGGUUCACGGUUCGAACUUCUGACGCGUGGGUACCAACCGGCCAAGCCCUGAUGAGCGCGCGAUAAACUUGACAAAGUUUUUGGAGUUUCGGUGGACAAUCAUUUACUUCAUCAUGGAUUUCCGAUUUCAUCAAGAAUCGCUGGGGAAAAUUUGUAGGAUUUGUACAGAGAGGCUGCAUCCGAGAGUGGUAAAACCAAAACGAAAACCACUCCCCUGCAGCAGCGUUCGUUGGGAAAUUUUCAGUUUAUUUCGAGUCAGUACGUGGAACGAUAAACCCGAUCAGCAUCCAGCGUUCCUAUGUGAAAGAUGUUCCAGAAACAUUCGACAUUUGACGGGAGGCACUCGGGAAAUGGAUGUCCACAAAUUACUCGUGAACCAAAAAGUGCAAUGGGACUGGCCUCCGCACCAAAGCACGGGUGAAUGUUUUGUGUGUGAACUGGUGAAAACUCAGGGGAAAGGGGGUAGAGGCCGCAAGAUAAGACGAAAAUACUUCUCAUCAGGAUCAGGAGGAGCGUCUCAAAAUACGGUGCAAGACACAGAAUGAAGACACCUGUUGUGUUGGAUCAUUUUGAACAUCUUGAAUUUAUACACUGAUAAAAAAACAUUGUUGAACAUCUCGAUGGACAUGCAUGAUGGAGCAUACAUAGCUGAAGCCAGCCAAGUUUGGUUGAACUUUUAAACCAUUCAUGGCUUCCUCAAUCCUUCAAAAUCCUCCAUGUGGUUUUGGAGGAUUUGGGAUGCAUGCUGGAGGAUUGAGGCUGUAUGAAUGGCAAAAACAAAGGGUGCAUGAGUCGAUUUUGGAGGAUGCAUUGUGCCGAGUUCAGAGGCUGUAUCCACCAUUGUCUAUAUUCAGCCAUUAUUGUUGGAGGAUUUUGUAGGAAAAUGAAGGAUCGAGGCAAUAAUGGUCAAUGAGGCCCCUCCCUCCACCAUGUCCACUGAACAAAUACUGCAGCCGAUGAUUUUGGAGGAUUACUCCGAUCCAAUUGAAUCCAAUUUUACAUGCUGGCAAUUGAAGGAUUUUGUAUGGUUCCUGACCGAAAGGGCCUAAUCAGUGACGGCCAUUAUUGUUGGAGGAUUUUGUAGGAAAAUGAAGGAUCGAGGCAAUAAUGGUCAAUGAGGCCCCUCCACCACGUCCACUGAACAAAUACUGCAGCUGAUGAUUUUGGAGGAUUACUCCGAUCCAAUUGAAUCCAAUUUUACAUGCUGGCAAUUGAAGGAUUUUGUAUGGUUCCUGACCGAAAGGGCCUAAUCAGUGACGGCAGGAAGGAGGGGGGGGGGGGGGCUAUUUUCAUUUGUUCAAUCUGUUGAUUUAUCAAGGAGGCUGUUGCUAUGGACUUGGGUCAAGCUUCAAGCCACAAUCACCGGGCAUUACAACUGGUCGUCGGCCUUCAUAUUAUUAUACAACACCUAAUGACAACGAAACCAUCUGCAGUGCAUCUCUUGGCCCGAAGCAUGCAAAGACAGCCUUUGUACUACUGGCCUCUCACUUAUCAUGAUGCGAGACUGACAUCUAGCAUGGACUCAGCUCAGGAAAUCAGGAAGAUGGGAUACCUGAAUGUCCAGAACUGCAUACCAAGGAUGCCUUGAGGAAGCUGCAGGAACUCCUGCUCAAGGGUAUCUUCAAGGAGAAAUCAAAGAACUUGAGUUCAACAGCCACAAGGUUGAUGGAAUAAGGGUUUUUCAACUGAAUCUGUACUCUUCGCCUUUGUUGGGGACCUCAGAGAGAUGGUGUCUACUUGAAUCCACAGCAAUGAUGCAUCCGGGACUUGAUAGCGGCAUACAGACCACCCCUCCCACCUUAGACUUGGUCAAGAUGAUCGGCGGUCAUUGUCCAAUGAUUGAAGGUUGGCCACUGUUCACUGCAGCCACGCGCUAUGACUCACACAUACGUACAUACAUACAUGUACUGUUAGUCUGUAUGAAGCGAGAACAACGACCUCAAGCAGCUUGCUACAAUAUGCAAAUCAGGAAGUGCCAGAUACAUGUAAAUGCCUUGGAACAUCUGUGGCUUUAGCAUAUGUUUUUCUUACAGAGGUUGUGGAAUGCUCGAAAACAUUUCCGUCAUUUUUUGGGUGUAUGUAGCCUAAGGUGUGAUGAAAUAAA